rnacentral:lncRNA from 1 species
UGGAUUCCAUGAAAGCAUAUGACUGAAUUGAGCUUCUUCUAAGCAUUUUUUUAUGAUGGGGCAUUCAAAGCUGGUGAAUUGGACUAGAUAUUGAGUUUACAGGAGCAGUCAGGGAUAAUAUGCAUGGUUCUGUAAUUAGUGUGGAAACCUGAGCAAGACGUAAGGUGAUUUGAGUUGUUUUAAGCUUCAUAUUGUUCUUAGGUUUUGUUUCUUUUUCCCUAGGCGUGAAACCUAUGUUUUAUUUAUAACAAUGUUCUUGGGUUUGCAGGCGUGUUUCUAAAAAUGUUCUUAGGACCAGUAAAUCUACGGACAACAAGGAAGAUUGUGCAACAGAAGGUGAAGGAGGAUAGAAGGUGCAUGGCAUGUGCUAAACUGUAUUAUUCAUGGUAUUUAGAUUAUGAGUUUUGGAAUUUGGCUUUUUUGUUUAUCCAAGUAUCUUUGGAACAAUAUUAUUUAAUGUUUGCUCAAAAUUUCGCUAAAUGAAAAAAUGCACUGUCAUAAUGUGUAAUUUAUCUUUACAUUGAUGACACUUGAAUUGUAUUGGAAUUAACUUGGGAAGCACACAGUUGUUAGACUUCACGUUAUAGGUCUGUGCUGCUUAGGCAGCUCAGCUGAUCAAAUCCUUAUAAUAGUUCUGUUUGUAUCAAAAGCUAUUCAGUCAACAUAAUGGUCUAACUUGUGUGAGUUUGUAUCCACUACUUAGCAUAAAUUUUUGAAUACAAUAAAUUUGAAUAAAUGUAACUCUGAUUUUUAUCUGAAAGUAUAGCCUUGUUACUUCGAGUUAUGUAUAGGUUUAUAUACAAUUGUACUAAUUCAAAUGGUAAUUAUCCUUUAUUCUUUGAAUAUAAACUCCUUAUGUUUUAAGGAUCUCAUGACCAUAGCCAAAAUCACUGUCCUUUUAGCACGAGUGAAGCAACUGCUAGCACAACUCGGGGGCAAGUUAAAAGGCUAAUGCGUUGGAUGUGGAAAGUCAGUAUUUUUUCUUGUUUUAGCAUACUUCUUAAUUUUUGGUUCACUUAUAUACUUCGCAAGUUGUUAACUUCUAGAUCUCAACAGUUAGGGAAUAAACCAACAAAUGAUGGGUAAUAUUUAAGAUAUCAAAUGUUGAUGAUUGUAGAAGCCACUAAUAGAUUUACAGCUCAUCUAUCGAUUGAAAGAUGCAACAAAAGGUAGGCUGACUUAAAAUUUACUCUACCACUUAGUCCACACAUUUAGAUGGUUUAGGAACAAACUUUAGAUCAGGUCCUUAACCUGUUUAGAUGGUUUAUGAGCAUCAUUUAUGUAUUUCAUCCUCAAUGCUCCCAUCUUCUGCUCAAUAUAAAUAUAACGAGUUACCCUUGCCAUCAGUGGCGGACGCAGGAUAGAAUUUCAUGCGGAGCCAAACAAAAUCAUAAGACAUCUAGAUAAGAUUAUAAAAUAGAUGUAACACUGCAUAUAGAAUCUAGUGAUCGAACAAUAGAAAUUAAAAUUUGAAAGAAGAGAAAAAUAUGAACAAGAAAAAACUACGUGUCAAUGUUGCGAUGGCUGAAUGACUAAAUUGUGCGGGUGUGUGAGCGCAGGCAGAAGGGGGAUGGACGGGCGACAACGACAUUGGUGCGGCGAUAAAGUUGGUGAGCACAGAAGGGGAGCUAGGUGUGCCAGUGACACUGGGGCAACACAGAAGGGGGCAGGCGACAAAGUCAGGGUGAGUACAAUAAGGGUACGGCGACGACGGAGUCGAGCGCUUCUACCUUGUGUCGAUCCGAUACAACGAUAAUAGAACAGAAGUGGAAUUGGAUUGUUUUAGAGAGUUGUGGAGUUGGAUUGUUUGGCGGGAUGGUGGAUGUGUGCUGUAUUUUUGUCUUCACGUAUUUAUUAUUUAUUUCAAUUCUCAUCAUAUUCAGUAUAUAUAUAAGAAGACAAAAAUUGAGGUGGGGCCACGGCCCUCUUUGCCCACCCCGUGCAUCCGCCCCUGCUUGCCAUAUAGUUUUUUAUGAAGUGACCAGCUAUCUGAUUCUUGUUCCCUGUAUGUGUCACCGGGAAAG